GUGCCGCCUUCAGACCCCUAAACACCCUCACCCUGCUCCUCGUGAAACCCCUCCCCUUCCGCAUUCUCUUCCUCUGCUUUGCAGCGUCUCAGCCAGCCACCUCCGACCACCACCGUCACGGCCUUGUCACUGUCCGUUUUAGCCGGUCCACUCAUUGCAUCAUCACCGCACUGUGCCGUUCAUCCUCUUCCGUGCCGUUCGCCGUUCUUCUCUUCACCGGCAUAUUUGAUUUCUUCGGCCAUUUUUUCUUUAUCCCUGGCGAGCUUAGCUUAGCUUAUAUAUAAGGAGUUGGAUGAAAGCAAGAUUGAAGCAAUCUCGUUAGAAAAAGUUUGAAUAGAGAAUAUGGAAGAGAACAUGAAGAUGUUUGUUGAAAGUUGUAUAUUGACAAUGAAAGAAUAUUUGAUGUUAAAGAUUUUAUUUUAUUAACUUUUUUUAGAAUGAAAGUUGUACUUUAAGAUUUUAUUUUAUAGCUUAUAAUUUUCUAUGUUGUAUUUUUGAACUUAUAAUCUUGGAUAAGAUAUGUGGUUGUAUGUUUGUAAUAA